rnacentral:rRNA from 1 species
CCUACGGUGGGCAGCAGUAGGGAAUAUUGCUCAAUGGGGGAAACCCUGAAGCAGCAACGCCGCGUGGAGGAUGAAGGUUUUCGGAUUGUAAACUCCUUUUGUUAGAGAAGAUAAUGACGGUAUCUAACGAAUAAGCACCGGCUAACUCCGUGCCAGCAGCCGCGGUAAUACGGAGGGUGCAAGCGUUACUCGGAAUCACUGGGCGUAAAGAGGGCGUAGGCGGGGUAGCAAGUCAGAUGUGAAAUCCUUUGGCUUAACCACAGAACUGCAUUUGAAACUGUUAUUCUGGAGUAUGGGAGAGGUAGGGGGAAUUCUUGGUGUAGGGGUAAAAUCCGUAGAGAUCAAGAGGAAUACUCAUUGCGAAGGCGACCUGCUGGAACAUAACUGACGCUGAUGCGCGAAAGCGUGGGGAGCAAACAGGAUUAGAUACCCGUGUAGUC